AAACAAAGAAAAAAAAGAAGAAGAAAACAAAGAAAAAAAAAACAGGUUAUUACAUGAACAAUAUGUGUUUGAUAAGAAUUUAAGCAAAUCGUGCCAAAAUAUUAAGAAAGAUUGUAAAGUUUGUUUCAACAAAUCUCACACACUUGAUAAUAAAUUUGAAAAGUCUAAAAAACGUAAUUUUGAUAUAAUAAAAAAAAAUUUGUUAAUAGAACGAAAAAUAAAAGAACUAGAAGAAAAAAAAACAAAAAAUUUGGAACAAGAUCAUGAUUAUUACUCUGAUGAAGAUAAUAUAAAAUUGGUAUAUACAGCUAAAAAUUACAUUGAAAAUAUAUUUGAUUUAACAAAUAAAAGACACCGAAGUAAUUCAAUAAAUAAUUAUAAAAAAAACGUAAGUGAUGGUCUUAACAGUUUAAAUGAUAGUACUUUUAUGCGAAAAAUGCGAAACUCGAGUAAUUUAAAUAAUGCCUACAAUUCGCAUAAUUCGUACUAUACGUACAAUGUUGAUAAUUUAGAAAACGUAACAAACUUCAAUUUUUUAAAAAAUAAAUAUAGUAUGAACGGAAAAUUAAAAAGUGGUAAAUACGAUGGCACUAGUAAUGACUACAAUAGUAGUAGUAGUAGUAAAAAAUGUAGCUUUAGCAAAUAUUGCGACAGCAGUAGAGACUACAGCAAAAUAAACUACAAUAGUAUAAACUACAGCAGCAUAAACUACAGUACUAGUGAUGAAUAUACUACCAACAUUGUAUAUACUGGGAGUACUGACUACACUAAUAGUAAAGACUACAACAUCAAGAAAAAGGACAGUACUACUAAAACUGAAUUUUCUCUUGAUUUUAUUAAUUAUGUAAAAAAAAAUCAAAAUUUGUUUCAUUGCAAUUUAUGCAAACUAAAAGGCACAAUACAUCCAUCAGUAUCAUUAUAUAAUAUAAGUGUUUUUUUAAAAAAAACUAAAAGUUAUUUUUUAGAGAUCAUUAAUAAAUUAAGUGAUAAAAUAACUAUCAUAAACGAUAUAGAAAAAUUUUUAAUAUUUAAAAAUGAAAAAACAGAAGAAGUAUUUUUAUGUACUUUUUAUUCUUCUUACCCUUAUAAAACUAUAGCAUAUUCUGUUUUAAUGAUUUUAUUAUCAAUUAUGUAUUUUUUUAUUUUAUAUUAUGUAGUGUUAAACAACUAUUAUAUAUUAUAUAAAGAUAAUCAUUUAUUUUUUUUAAGUAUAUUUAAAUUAUUUGCAAUUGUUUCUUAUUUUUUAUAUUUUAUUAUAUAUAUUACAUUUUUUAGUAAAAGAUAUAUGGAUAAAAUAGGCAUAAGUUUUUAUAGAUCUUUAUAUUUCAUUACACCCUUUGUAUUAUUAUA
rnacentral:lncRNA from 1 species